CGCUCCGCUGCGAUAUCUGCCCUCCGCCACCGCCGAGAUGCUGCUCUUGCUGUUGGGGAUCAUCGUGCUCCACGUCACCGUGCUGGUGCUGCUCUUCGUCUCCACCAUCGUUAGUCAAUGGCUGGUGAACGGCGGGCACACNNNNNNNNNNNNNNNNNNNNNNNNNNNNNNNNNNNNNNNNNNNNNNNNNNNNNCCCCCCGGCAUCGGGGCUGUGCCCCCCGGCAUCGGGGCUGUGCCCCCCGGCAUCGGGGCUGCUCCAGCCCCCGGCACCUAUGGAAUCAAGAGGGAUUUGCCCAUGCGGGUUAUUUGAGAUUCUUUCUUGGAUUUCCCCGCGUCCACCCCAUCCCCUUGCCUGCUCUGCUGUGUCCCCCGCUGGAGGAGCAGGGCUGUGCUGUGUCCCGGUGUGGGGACACGGGGCUGGCCCGGCAGUGGGGGAUUGCUCCUCCGCCCUCGCAGUCCCUGAAGCUGCGGUGGGGCUCAGGACGAGGAUUAGACGUGCUGCCCAUGGCUCUGCCCGGCUGCCCUCGGGCUGAAGGGCAGGUCCUGGCAGCACCAGGGCAGGGGACACCCUCAGCUGCACUGGCGGGGACGGCUGGAGCCCUGCUGGGCGGUCUCCUGCUAUCAGCUCAUUUUAUCUCCUGAAUGCGCAGACACGAGGUGCUCUUCUGGGCAGGGUCGCUGGGAGCCUGUUACCCUGCUGGAAGCUGUAGGGCUCUUUUUGGGACAGGUCCCUCUUGCUCUGCUUGUGAGGGGUUUGAAGGAUGCCCACUGGGCCUUGAGGACACUCUGUCUCCAGAGGACACCUGUCCCCCACCUGGAAAUCCGUCCUGCGUUGUGCCGCUGGCACAGGCUGAGGUUUGGGCACAGCCCUGGUCCUGGGGAUGGCUGUGGGGGCUGUGCUGAGUGCUCGGGCCCUUCGUGCAGUGCACCUGCACUCCCGGGGGGCUGAACAGCCACCGCGGGCCCCAGCCGGGGGAAGGCUGAUGUCACACUGGGUGACAUCACCUCUGAACUGUUUGCUGAGGUCAGCAAGGGAGGAGAGAGUGCUGAGACACCGUGACAGGCGGUUUCCAGAGUGACCAGUGGCACCAGGAACACAAAAUCCAUGCCAGACAGUUGGGCAAGCCCGUGCCUCAGUUUCCCUGGAAGACAGAGCUGAUGUCGGUGGUGCUGGGGCCAGCGUUUGUUUUGUUAGCCUGGCUUUUGCUUUCCUGCGGACACAGGUUCUCCCAGUGCAGCCCCCAGUGACAGCAGCUGUGAGUCCCAGCACCGGCACUGGGACACGGUCACUGUGCUGGGAACGCGGGCCUGGGUAGGAGCAGCCCAAGUGGCCCUGGCGAGGGGGGCACGGUGGCACGGGGAGCAUUAAACACUCCAGCAGGGUCCCUCAGCGAAGGGAGGCUGUGAGAGGGUUUUUGGAGAUUCUGCUCAGAAUGCCCGGCCUGUGGGAGCGAGCCACUCGCGGUGCCCACGUGGGGAGGCGAUGCCGCUGCUCUGUCCCCACUUUCCUCGCUGUCCCCGCGUGUGUCCCGGCUCUGCUC
rnacentral:lncRNA from 1 species